AGGAAGAGGGAGAUGGGGACUGUGCACAGAGCCAUGAAGAACCAUUUUUCUCUUCUGUUAGCUCGCUGAACUUGAGACCCAUGAGCGAUUCCUGUUUAGUACGGAAACAGAAGUGAGUGCCACCAUGUCCCCACUUUCUUGCAUCUACUCGUCUCAGUUCUCCACUUAAGCAAGCCCAGUUGUGCUGAAAGCAAGGACACCUGGGACUGCCUCACACUGACCCAGAGGACCUGCUGGCCAAGCUGUCGGUUUUCAUGCAGUUGUUUAUCUGGAACAAGGCACCAUGUUCCAGCAAGGGGCCAAGCUGAAGCCCUGCUCUCAAGCUCUGCUCCACUGUGUUCUCCCUGGCCGCCCUGUGGGGGUGUCAGUGGAUUCUGGACUUGACCUUAUCUGGAAACCAAUGGUGACGUUUACCUGGGCUAUCAGAAUAGCAAUUGGCUCUGCUAUGAACUAGGUUAUGUCUUCCCCACUCUAAUCCACAAGAUGCAAUGUUCAGUUCCCACGGGAGUGUAAUUGAGCUGGACCUCUCUGGGGAGCAGGG